rnacentral:lncRNA from 1 species
CUUCUCUAUGUUCCUCCACGCGCUCGAGCGCGAUCUCCACGCUUCCGUCAAUAGUAACCUCACGCUUCUUGAGGGACGCGAGCGUGGCCUUGGUAUCAUGGUCUAGGGUCUGGAAUUUGUGCUUGAGAGCUUCCGAUUUCUUCUGGAGGUUCUGCUCGAGAGAGGUGAUGUGGUCAGAAAGCUCCUUCCAGAGAAGAGUACAGCUUGUCAUAAGCGAGGUCUGACGCUGGAAGUCGUCGAAGCUGGGGGGAGUCAACUCGGCUAACUCGCCUGGAUCGGGGAUCGACCCCAUGGCUGGUGAGAAACGGGCACCGGAAGUAACCCAGCAGCUGAAAAAAGAAGGAAAAAAAGAAAAGAGAGAAACCCU